GACGAACGCUGGCGGCGUGCUUAACACAUGCAAGUCGAACGGAAAGGCCCUGCUUUUGUGGGGUGCUCGAGUGGCGAACGGGUGAGUAACACGUGAGUAACCUGCCCUUGACUUUGGGAUAACUUCAGGAAACUGGGGCUAAUACCGGAUAUGAGCUCCUGCUGCAUGGUGGGGGUUGGAAAGUUUUGGCGGUUGGGGUUGGACUCGCGGCUUAUCAGCUUGUUGGUGGGGGAGUGGCUUACCAAGGCGUUGACGGGUAGCCGGCCUGAGAGGGUGACCGGCCACAUUGGGACUGAGAUACGGCCCAGACUCCUACGGGAGGCAGCAGUGGGGAAUAUUGCACAAUGGGCGGAAGCCUGAUGCAGCGACGCCGCGUGCGGGAUGACGGCCUUCGGGUUGUAAACCGCUUUCGGCUGUGACGAAGCGUAAGUGACGGUACUGGCUAAAGAAGCACCGGCUAACUACGUG
rnacentral:rRNA from 1 species